CCGUUCGUUUUUAUUUGAGAUAUUUUUAAUAAAUUAAUCAUAACAAUUCGUAGGAAAUAUUAUUUUAUUCAUUUAUGGAUUUUGUCUGUCAGUCGGAAUUCCUAUACGCUUUAAUAUAUAUAUAUAUAUAUAUAUAUAUAUAUAUAUAUAUAUAUAUAUAUAGAGAGAGAGAGAGAGAGAGAGAGAGAGAGAGAGAGAGAGGGGGAGAUUGGUAUACUAUCGUUAGCCAAUUUGUUUUCAACGAUGCGGCUUCCAAAUCCAUGAUCGGCUCCGUUAGACUUAAUCUACAUUAUUAAAAAUAUUUGGAAACUAAAUUUCAUAAUUUUUCAGCAUCAUUUAUCUAUCAAACGAGUAGUUUAAAAAUUAACGGCUGAAAAUAAAAAUCUCAUAAAAAUGAUAAUAAAAGACUUGAAUUUAAGAUCAGAUGUGCUGAUCUUACUAUAAGUAGUUAAAAAAAUUUUCUAUAAAAAUUUCAUUUGAUUUGGAUUGUUUUACACCGUUAAAUUCACAAACGCAUCACAUCUACCAUUAAAAUUGUCAAUUUUGAGACCUUUUGAUCACUAGCCAAAUGAUGUCGAAAAAUUAUGAAAUUUAGUUUACAAAUACUUUCAAUAGUAUAGAUAAAGUCUAACAGAGCCGAUCGUCGAUUUGGAAGCCGCAUCAUUGAAAACAACUUGGUAGCACGGAGGCCUCCGUGCUACCGAUAGUAUACCAGCCUAGCGCGCGCUCUCUCUCUCUCUCUCUCUCUCUCUCUCUCUCUCUCUCUCUCUCUCUCUCUCUCUAUAUAUAUAUAUAUAUAGUAGAGCUACUAUACUAUCGGAAGUAUAAAGUAGUUGGUGCUUCCGAUUUUCUGGCCCUUAGAUCAACCCCAUUGAUCAUUUUUAACCAUUGGAUUAAUAUUAUUAACCAAUGGGGACCAUUCAACCCUAGGGGGACCACUCAAUUCUAAGGGUACCGCUAUCAUCUCAAUCGUAGAAUUUUUAAUCCAAGGGCUAAAAAAUCAGAAGCACCAACUAUUUUAUGCUUCCGAGAUAGUAUAGUAGCUCUAUACUAUAUAUAUAGUAUAGAGCUACUAUAUAUAUAUAUUGUCUUGGCGUUUCUAU
rnacentral:lncRNA from 1 species